rnacentral:rRNA from 1 species
CCCUUAGAUGUUCUGGGCCGCACGCGCGCUACACUGAUGCAUUCAACGAGCCUAUCCUUGACCGACAGGUCCGGGUAAUCUUUGAAUCUGCAUCGUGACGGGGAUAGAUUAUUGCAAUUAUUAAUCUUCAACGAGGAAUGCCUAGUAAACGCAAGUCAUCAGCUUGCAUUGAUUACGUCCCUGCCCUUUGUACACACCGCCCGUCGCUCCUACCGAUUGAAUGAUCCGAUGAAUAUCAUGGAUUGAGGAUGUAAGCAGGUUCGCCUGUCUUCAUCUUCGAGAAGUGAAGUAAAUCUUAUCAUUUAGAGGAAGGAGAAGUCGUAACA